rnacentral:rRNA from 1 species
UACGUAGGGUGCGAGCGUUAAUCGGAAUUACUGGGUGUAAAGCGCACGCAGGCGGCUUUGUAAGUUAGAGGUGAAAGCCCAGAGCUCAACUCUGGAAUUGCCUUUAAGACUGCAUCGCUUGAACAUCGGAGAGGUGAGUGGAAUUCCGAGUGUAGAGGUGAAAUUCGUAGAUAUUCGGAGGAACACCAGUGGCGAAGGCGGCUCACUGGCUCGACACUGACGCUGAGGUGCGAAAGCGUGGGGAGCAAACAGG